rnacentral:snoRNA from 1 species
AUACUUUUGUGGUUCAUCAGCAUGAAGAAUGGGUGUUUUUGCAUCUGUGACAAGUGUCUCCCUCAACCUUAUAAGGACUUAUGAAUUACUAACA